UCAUUCAUUUAUUUAUGCUGACUCGGUAUUCCAGAGAUCUUACGGAAAGAGCUGCAAGGAAAAGUCAGUUCAAAGGUGAGCUCUAGACAAGGAACAGACAAUGGCAAAGCAAUUCAGAUGUUUUGGCUACUAUUUGCUUGAGAUGAAAUAUGAUCAUCUUGAAAGUCAUAAUCAAAAUGAGCAUUAAUCAAGAAGCUGACAAGAGAUAUUGAAAGUCAGAACAGACUGCGCAAAGUCCAGGAAGCUAUUACCUGAGGCUUUGGAAAGGGCACACAGGCAAUAGGCACAGACCCUGCAAAGCUCCGGAGCUGAGAUGUCUUCUUCCUAUUCAGAAACCCAGAAGUUAAGAAGGACCUGACCUCUGACACCAGAACAUACAGUCUAACACUCAUCUCUCUGGCUUCACCCUUUAGCUCUCCCUUGGAUGGACACUGUCACCUGCUUGAUGAGAAAAAUCAAUCUGUUUUCCAAUCUACACUUUGAACAUCUAAAUCUCUGUGUUUCCAAGAGCAUAAAGCAUGUUAGACUUUUUAAGGGUACUGAUUGUGUAGGAAAGUAUAGCUUCCAGAUUUCCUGUGUCAGCCCAGACACACCUUCAUUUUCCAAUGAUAUCCUUCAGAUUUUGGAUUCACACCAUAGCCUAGGAGAAAGGACAAGUUGACUUGGCCUUCUCCUCUUUAUUUUCUUGGCUGCCUCAUGUAGCUUUGAGAUUGAUGAUUGAUCGUUUUUCCACACUCACCCACAGCCUUUUCUGUAGCCACAUGCAAAUUUGCCAAUGGGUAAUUAAGCAGCAGACACAUCCAAUAAAUAUAAUAAAUAAAUUUGAUUUUCCCCCUCUUAGUAAUUGGUUUCAUCUGACUGAGUCUGAUGGUGUGUAGGAAUAUAUAAACAGGAUUAUGAAAGAGAAAAAUUAGUUGCUGGGUCAUAGGAAUUGUACAGCCUUAAGUACUGUGAAAUGUCUCUGUAAUGUCUAUGUUAUUCAUAGGGUUAAAAUAAAGAAAAGCAGGUUAUUCUUUCUCAAGAUGUUUCAGUGAAGUUAAAAAUAAAACGGAGUCAAGACUAUCACUGUAAGAAAAGGUUAACCAGCUACAGAACUUACUUUCCUUUCUUAAGUACCCUCUUCCCUCUAACUCACGCUGUUCUUUCCCUGGACCACCACUAAACUGGGACCACAGUCCCAGACCUUGACUGAGGUCUCCAACUUCUCACAUCAGACAGGGUUACAUGAAUAGAAAUGACUUGGUUAUACUAGAAGAAAGAGAGUGCAAAGAUAUUUGUGUAAAAUUACUGCCUGAGCAAGUGCUAAAAUGAAAUGAAAUUAAAUCACUUUUCCAAAACUCCCUACACACAAAGAAAAAAACAUUAUCUUUCAUUGUAAAGAGAGCACCCACUUCUAUUUCCAUUUGAUUUCUGGGAUAUCAUUUUGACAUCAGAUUGCUCUUGCCUCCAGAGGUACAGUACCUUGUCUCUGGAAUCACG